AAAGUCGUAACAAGGUUUCCGUAGGUGAACCUGCGGAAGGAUCAUUAAUGGAGUUGUGCUGCCGCAAGGGAGUGCAACGCUCCACUGUCCUGUGUUGUGUGUAUGUAUGUAUGUGUGAGGGUGUGCGUGCUGCCUUGUCUCACAGACAGAGCAACACGCACACACUCCCAUUGUGUUUGUAACUGUUUACUGUAUACCAUCUAAUUCAAGCAAGCAAGCUCAGCAAUGAGCAAGCACAACAAUCGAAAACUGCCACCAAUGGAUCACUUGGUUCUC
rnacentral:misc_RNA from 1 species